rnacentral:misc_RNA from 1 species
AUACUCUCAACCUUCUUGGUUUUCUUUGACCACAAAGGCUUGGACUUUGGAGGUUUUUCUUGCUGGCCUCUUUUCAAGCCAGCUCCUCCUAAAUGAAUGGGUGGGGUCCGCUUUGCUGAUCCUCGACGUGAUAAGCAUUUCUUCUAUGUCUCAGUGUCAGCUCAGAACCCACUUUCCAACCAUCUUUCGACAAAGACAGUGUUCGAGUUGUGACUGACUUUACAAA